UCCUACUGGUUACAGAGCCGUAAACAUUGA
rnacentral:piRNA from 1 species